GCUUAAGCCUCUGAUGAAGUCUGUGUUAGUAGGGACAUCUGAGACUGUUGAAUACCAAGGUCUGAUUUCUGUGC